rnacentral:rRNA from 1 species
UACGUAGGGCGCAAGCGUUGUCCGGAAUUAUUGGGCGUAAAGAGCUCGUAGGCGGUUUGUCGCGUCUGCUGUGAAAACCUGAGGCUCAACCUCGGGCUUGCAGUGGGUACGGGCAGACUAGAGUGCGGUAGGGGAGACCGGAAUUCCUGGUGUAGCGGUGGAAUGCGCAGAUAUCAGGAGGAACACCGAUGGCGAAGGCAGGUCUCUGGGCCGCAACUGACGCUGAGGAGCGAAAGCAUGGGGAGCGAACAGG